CUCGCCGGCGCUAACCUGGCGGCGCGUGGCGACCCCAGCGGGGCCGGGCGGAGGAGGGAGCGGGCAAGGCCGCCCUCGGAGGCCCCUGAGAACCGGGAGGCGGAGCCACACACCCUGAGGACCGGCGAGCUUUAGAAAACUAAUAUGGAAGGAAUGGUCAGUUAUCUUGCUUGUUGGUGCUUGCUCAGGAGCUAAGCAGUGAAAAUCCUUUCAUCCUUGUAUACUAAGAAUGUCUUUGUGCAGGAUCUACAGGAUAAAUCUCUAAAAAUUGGAUUGCUGGGUCAAAGGAAAAGCAUACUUAAAAUUGUAAAAUGCGUUGACAAAUUCCCAUUCAAAAGACUAUUCUAAUCCACACUGCUACCAGCCAUUUUUCUACCCCCUUACCAACAGUGAAUUCUACGAAUCUCUAACUUUGGUUGACCUGAUAGAUAAAAAAAUGGUGUCUCUUUA